AAUAUGCAACUACAUUUUGGCGCUAGAAACAGGGAAUAGAGUGAUGGAUUUAUCCAACCUAGUCGCUUAGAACAUAAUUUGUUCACUACCAACAAGUUCUGUAACAGAUCCAGCGGAGAUCCAGUAGAUACAAGAGCUUUAGACAACAAAGUGUCUCGUCCGAGUCCAAACAUAGACUAAGGAAAAUAAAGAGGCGUGAAAAACCAGAAGUUGUUAUUACACAACAAAGAGAAAAGAGGCGAAAUUGCUGUGGCGGAGAAUAUGAAGAACAACUUCAUCAAGCACUGAAAUCAGCAGAUUUGCCAUCAACAUCAAUUGGGAACGAAUUUCUUCUUCCUAUAUCUCUUAUCUUGUUCUUUAUAUUCAGAUCUACAAAUUUUAAAACAAAAUUUUUGGGGAAAAAACCCUUCACAAAAACCAGGGCUUGUUCUUCAAUACAAGUCUGAUUUUGUUUCAAAAUCUUGAUUAAGAAUGAUUUUUUUGUUACAGAUCGACAACCAGUAGAUCCUAUUCUUCAAACCCAUUGAAGAUUUUUUCCAAAAACACUAAAAAUCAACAUAUUUGCCUGAUUCAGGGCUUUUUUAUUCUCUAUCUCUUCGUACUGUGUUACGCAUCGGAGAAAUUGAUAACUCAAUUGAACUGCUGCUGCAGAAAUUGACGACUAUGAAGUCACGUCGGAGCAGCAGAAGAAAGCUUCAAAGCUACAUCGUGCCGGCCAAUUGAAGUCGGUCACCAGUUCUUAUUGAUUCACCAUCAGCACAACAGAUGCUAUCCCUCAGCAUCAUAGCCUAAUUUAAAUAUGGUGGUAGACGAAAUCACAAGUACGGACCACCAACAACACCAUAACCAUCUCGUACAUCUCAAUUGAGAUCCUCCACCUCACACGAAGUAGGUCGGAAAGCUACCAGUUCUUGAAGAAGCAAUCAGCGAGAGCCAACUAGAGAUCAGACUCACCAAGUCAUCGGACUGGAGCCUCGGCCUGAUCUGCUCGGACUCAUCAGUCCAUCUCCGAGCACCAACCUCGGACAAGCAAUGCAGCCAGAGCAUGAACUCGGAUGCAUCAACACUUUAGCCUGAUUUAGGGCUUUUUUCAUCGAAUAACGAUGAUGGACGAAACCACAUCAAAAUCACCAGCUCGUGUUCAACUCGAGACCAACUCGCGGAGAAACAACCAGCACGAUGGGAGCCAACCAGAGCUCGGACUCAUCAUUCUCAGACCACAGGCGAGGACAGAGUCAACCAACACGAUGAUGUUUAACCGAGUUCCAAUCUCGGACUCAAUCCAUAUCGGACUGAUCAAUUGGAGCAACCAUCUCUUACUGGCAAAGCAAUCAGCACGAUGAUGAUUCAACUAAGCUCGGACUCACCAGUUGAUCGGUCUAAAAGCAAGAACUCGGAUCGUACAUUGGAUUCGGACGAGAAGAAUCAGCUCAGACUUGUCACCCGAUCAAAACUCGGAUAACACUCUAUCCCACAUCUAUUUCUGAUUUACUUUUCUAAUAGCAUACAUGAGAUGCUAGAUUAGUUUAAGCUACACGCUUCAUAUUCAAAAAGUGAUUGAUAUUUUGAAUAUAGAGAAAUUUAAUACAUUUCAUGACCAACAGGUGCAUGAUGAAAUGCUCUACAGAGGGGCUAUGGUAUGGAAUCAGUCUCGGACGAACAACCAUGGCUCAAUCUAUAUUGGACUUACCAAGUCAUCGGUCAAGAAGCACGAACUCUGAUCGCACGAGGAUAUCAGAUGAGAGCACUAUCUACUCGGACUCACAUGAUGAUUCAACCAGAGCAUGAGCUCGGAUUACCCAAGUGAAUGGAGCACGAACUCGGACUCGACAGUCCCUUUCCGAGCACCAACUCGGAUAGCAUUCCUCUCUUACCUUAUCUCUUUUGUUUUUUAUGAUUAAUAAUAUCUAAAUGCUUUAUACUUAUAUGCCUGAAUGCUUUGAAUCAAGAGAAAUUUGAUACAUUUCAUGACCAACAGGUACAUGAUAACAUACUACACAUCAUGACUCUUUUAGGGCGUGUGUUUCAGAUGGUCAUUUCAAGACCAAUAAUCUUAUGUUGUCGAAAGCAUUCAUUUCGGAUCGGUCACGACAGUGCAUCCGAGCUCUCCAAGCUCAUGAAUUAGCUUGCAAAUAUUUUCCAUAACAGGGACAUCUUAUCUCUUUAUCUUUAAAUUUAUCAUUUUAUAUAAAUAAACUUAAAUAUGGCUAGUCAUUGACUUGAAGCAUAAUCAUUUAUAACUAUACUUUCUCUACUGUCAUUAACCAAUAAUUGGACUUUCCAGGAGAAAAAGGCAACCUCAUGAUAAAGGCUACAAAGCUAAAGGACGAUACGAUCUCCUACCUUUCUUGUCAGUCUAAGGACAAAAAAGGCAUUUUCUAACUUACAUAUUGAAUAUACAUAUGCCUAACCAAGGAACCAUUUUGCUUAAAAGCAAGCUAGAAAAGCUAGUCUCAAAGACUUAAGCCGAUAUACGUGUCGCACUGGUACAUCCAGAAAUACAUCCAGAAUUAGGUGCCACAAUCUAGCGCACCUGCUCCACAACGAGCACCACUAUAAAUGACAAUGCGACAUCAUAUCGCAUAAAAAUGAGCCGAAAAUGUUUACAUAAAGUAAAUGCUUUAGAAUUAAUGAAUGCUUUAACGUUAAAUGUGAUGAAUUAACAUUUCAUGUUUUGCAGCAAAUAUCCAUUAUGGUUGGAGAAUUCAGUUAAGUCGGAUCAAUUAUCCGCAUAAAGUUAGAGUUGGAUUAGACGUAAUCCGCAUAAAGGCAUGCUUAUGAUGCACUAAGGUUAGAGUCGGAUUAGUCGUAAUCCGCAGUAAAGACUUGUGGUUGUGUCUUCUUGCAGGUACACUUGAUGUAUGUAUGGUACAUCUGCUAGUUAUAUAUAUGUGUUUUUCUGCAGGGUUAAAUGGUGUAUCAUACAUACAUCCUCCUCUUGUUCUUUAUGUAUGUGUUUGCUUGCAGGGACAUUUGAUGAAUGUUGAGUGAAUGUGAUAUAAAUAUCUUCCUCUUGUCAUAUAUGUGUUUUCCUGCAGGGUAACUUAGUGUUCUUAAUAUGAAAUUUGUCUAUCAUGGAUGAUAAUUGAGGCAUGAUCCCCAGCCGAGAAGACAUCUUCUCGAGAUGGUAAUUGGGACACGAUCCCCAUCCGAGAAAACAUCUUCUCGAGACCAUUACGAAUGGUAUUUGGGUAAACCAAACCCUCGUGCGAGAAAAUAUCUUCUCAUAACUAUCACGAUGGUAAUCAGGCCAUGAGCCCCAUACGAGAAAAACCUAUUCUCAAUGCCAUAUGAUUUAUUUCCAUAUGAUUGUUUUAUUCAUUAUUUUGAUCUGUUGAAUGCAUGAAUUAUAUAUGUUGUUUGCAGUGGUGUAUUUAUAAUUUCAGGGGGGUGGAGUUGUUGCUUGUUUGCGUAAACUUUCCCUUAAAAGUUUUGUUUAUCAUAUCUGGAGAGAAAGAAAUAAGAAAGUCUUUUCUACUCAAAGUACCAGUGUUGAUGAAGUUAGUUACCUGAUAGUUAAGUAUGUCUGAUUGAAAUGCAUCUAUGCAAAUCUUGUAGAAUUGGAUAAACCCUAGGUUAAGGAGUUGUUUGUAUGGAUGGGGGAUAAACUGUACUUAUCAUUCUAAGAAAAUUGUUCCUUGUUCUUGGCUUCCUCCCAGUGAGGAUGAAGUUAUGAUCAACAUAGAUAGAUCAAGGAAAGAUACUUAUGGUGGUAGUGGUGCUAUUAUAAGGAAUCAUCUAGGUACUACUAUUGAUGCUUCUUGUGGAGGUUCAAUCCCUGCUACUGUGGUUGCUCAUGAACUUCAGGGAUCCGAAUUAGGCUUCAAACUUGUUAAAUUUAAAAGAUAUAAUCGCCUCAAUGUCAGUACAGAUUCAACAGUGGUCUAAAGUUUGCUUACUGCUAGGAAGCCCUCCCUGCCUGGAGUGUUCUUCAUAUAUGGAUACGGAUUAUGCACUUAAGAUCAAUCUUUGAGGCAGUUUGAUAUUCUUAUGUUUUUAGUGAAAAACAUGACAGAUGAUCAUUUGGAAAAUAUUCAUCCUAGUGGCAGUUUUGUUGAAGUGGAUCCAAGCAGUUUUGACAACAAUUUGAGAAGUAUUGUAGAGGACAAUAGUAGUCACAAAGUUUAUUUUAGACAGUAAUUUUGUUUUCGGUU